rnacentral:rRNA from 1 species
UAGUCCACGCUGUAAACGAUGUCUACUUGGAGGUUGUUGUCUCGAAUGAUGGCUUUCGGAGCUAACGCGUUAAGUAGACCGCCUGGGGAGUACGGCCGCAAGGUUAAAACUCAAAUGAAUUGACGGGGGCCCGCACAAGCGGUGGAGCAUGUGGUUUAAUUCGAUGCAACGCGAAGAACCUUACCUACUCUUGACAUCUAGAGAAGCCAGCGGAGACGCAGGUGUGCCUUCGGGAACUCUAAGACAGGUGCUGCAUGGCUGUCGUCAGCUCGUGUUGUGAAAUGUUGGGUUAAGUCCCGCAACGAGCGCAACCCUUAUCCUUGUUUGCCAGCACGUAAUGGUGGGAACUCCAGGGAGACUGCCGGUGAUAAACCGGAGGAAGGUGGGGACGACGUCAAGUCAUCAUGGCCCUUACGAGUAGGGCUACACACGUGCUACAAUGGCGAGUACAGAGGGUCGCGAAGCCGCAAGGUGGAGCCAAUCUCAUAAAGCUCGUCCCAGUUCGGAUUG